UACAGAGGGUGCAAGCGUUAAUCGGAAUUACUGGGCGUAAAGCGUGCGCAGGCGGUUCGUUAAGUCAGAUGUGAAAGCCCCGGGCUCAACCUGGGAACUGCAUUUGAAACUGGCGGGCUUGAGUGUGGCAGAGGGGGGUGGAAUUCCGCGUGUAGCAGUGAAAUGCGUAGAGAUGCGGAGGAACACCGAUGGCGAAGGCAGCCCCCUGGGCCAACACUGACGCUCAGGCACGAAAGCGUGGGGAGCAAACAGG
rnacentral:rRNA from 1 species